CCUAUCCUUGUCUGGGAGAGCAUUACACUCAAUGAUCGUUUAGUGAGAGUAUAGUUGCUGAAACCAAGAUAAACUAUUUCGCAUCACUCAUACCUUGGGUAGGUGCAAUUUUUGGAAAC
rnacentral:ncRNA from 1 species